GGGAUGGCUGAGAGGAAAAUUUGCGGCUAAGGAAAAACAGCGGUGGGUAACGCCUAUUGGGGCUGGACACCUUUCUUUUUCUUGCUUGUUUUGUGUCCGACCAAGUGUGUUUGUUUUAUUGGUCGCGCUAAUUCUAAUGAUGGAGGGUUUUUUGAAGCAUAAUGGAUUUUGGCCGCUAUACUAAAAAAGAGUCGGUAAUCUUGUUUGUAAGCGAAUAGAAGGCAUUGUGCUUACCUAUCAAUAUUAUAUCACUUAAAGAUAACCAUAAACCAUUAGGAUUAGGUAUGUUGCUGAACAAUGGCGGUAAGUAAUUUCUUCCUUAAAGCUUCCUUGUUAACUACACCAAAACCAAAACGAAAGCUCUUUUCUAGUAGCAAGUACCAAGUCGGGCAGGAAUAUUGUCUCGUAAAGAUCAUAUCUCCAAGAGUGCGACGAAGUUUUUACACCGGCUGUCUACCGACCGAGACGUAACUUACCCGAAGUCCUACUAAGAGAGAAACCUUGAAACGAAUAAUCAAAGGUAAAGAAUGGUCUAGUCACGCACCUCAUGUACAUACCUCUUUCGCGUGGAUCGCUGUCCUCCACGGUGUUCUGUCGAGCGCCAACUCUUUCUGUCUUUGUUAACUACACAUCAUUGUAAAAAUUUAUAACAAAAAUUGCAUUCGGCUAAAUAUCUCUUUUAUUAUAUUUCUUGUGUACAAAUAAUUCUAUGGGAUGAAAGUGAAAAUUACAUGGA